GAUCCUGGCUCAGGACGAACGCUGGCGGCGCGCCUAACACAUGCAAGUCGAACGAGCGAGAGAGAGCUUGCUUUCUCGAGCGAGUGGCGAACGGGUGAGUAACGCGUGAGGAACCUGCCUCAAAGAGGGGGAUAACAGUCGGAAAUGGCUGCUAAUACCGCAUAAAGCAUCGAAACCGCAUGAUUUUGAUGCCAAAGGAGCAAUCCGCUUUUAGAUGAGCUCGCGU
rnacentral:rRNA from 1 species